rnacentral:lncRNA from 1 species
AGUUUGAGUUCGAGGUCUGUCAGUCGUGGUUCAUUGGUCCCGGGUCUUCUGUCAGUUCAAGUUGGUCGAAUAAAAGCCCCAAUUUAAGGUCAUAUCCUCAUCUUAUUCUUAUUCUUAGUUCAUUUUUAUUAUGGUGAGUGGUUGAUUAUUGUCGUCUCGACUUUCUCUUUAUCUUAUGCGUGAGAUGAAUGAUGAAUGUCGAAU